GGGAAUCUACCCUUGGGUUCGGAAUAACAGCUAGAAAUGGCUGCUAAUACCGGAUGAUGACGUAAGUCCAAAGAUUUAUCGCCCAGGGAUGAGCCCGCGUAGGAUUAGCUAGUUGGUGGGGUAAAGGCCUACCAAGGCGACGAUCCUUAGCUGGUCUGAGAGGAUGAUCAGCCACACUGGGACUGAGACACGGCCCAGACUCCUACGGGAGGCAGCAGUGGGGAAUAUUGGACAAUGGGCGAAAGCCUGAUCCAGCAAUGCCGCGUGAGUGAUGAAGGCCUUAGGGUUGUAAAGCUCUUUUACCCGGGAUGAUAAUGACAGUACCGGGAGAAUAAGCCCCGGCUAACUCCGUGCCAGCAGCCGCGGUAAUACGGAGGGGGCUAGCGUUAUUCGGAAUUACUGGGCGUAAAGCGCACGUAGGCGGCUUUGUAAGUUAGAGGUGAAAGCCUGGAGCUCAACUCCAGAAUUGCCUUUAAGACUGCAUCGCUUGAAUCCAAGAGAGGUGAGUGGAAUUCCGAGU
rnacentral:rRNA from 1 species